rfam:Firmicutes bacterium CAG:114 genomic scaffold, scf80
UCCCUAUCUGUUGCGGGCGUAAGAGAUUUGAAGGGGGCUGUCCUUAGUACGAGAGGACCGGGAUGGACGCACCUCUGGUGCACCUGUUGUCGUGCCAACGGCAUAGCAGGGUAGCUAAGUGCGGACGAGAUAAACGCUGAAAGCAUCUAAGCGUGAAACUUUCCCUAAGAUAAGAUCUCUCAUCCUUCGAGGAGUAAGGCACGACAGAGACUAUGUCGUAGAUAGGCCGGAGGUGGAAGUGCAGUAAUGUAUGGAGCUGACCGGUACUAAUCAGCCGAGGGCUUGACCUG